GUGAAAUUGUUGAAAGGGAAGCGCUUGCAACCAGACCUGCCUGCAGUUGCUCAUCCGGGCUUUUGCCCGGUGCACUCUUCUGCUGUCAGGCCAGCAUCGGUUCAGGCGGUCGGAUAAAGGCUUCGGGAAUGUAGCUCCUCUCGAGGAGUGUUAUAGCCCGUUGCGAAAUGCGGCCAGCCUGAACUGAGGUCCGCGCUUCGGCUAGGAUGCUGGCGUAAUGGUUGUAAGCGGCCCGUCUUGAAACACGGACCAAGGAGUCUAACAUCUGUGCGAGUGUUUGGGUGUCAAACCCGUGCGCGUAAUGAAAGUGAACGGAGGCGGGAACCCCUCGGGGUGCACCGUCGACCGAUCCUGAUGUCUUCGGAUGGAUUUGAGUAAGAGCAUAGCUGUUGGGACCCGAAAGAUGGUGAACUAUGCCUGAAUAGGGUGAAGCCAGAGGAAACUCUGGUGGAGGCUCGCAGCGGUUCUGACGUGCAAAUCGAUCGUCAAAUUUGGGCAUAGGGGCGAAAGACUAAUCGAACUAUCUAGUAGCUGGUUCCUGCCGAAGUUUCCCUCAGGAUAGCAGUAACGUUUUCAGUUUUAUGAGGUAAAGCGAAUGAUUAGAGGCCUGGGGGUUGAAACAACCUUCACCUAUUCUCAAACUUUAAAUAUGUAAGAAGUCCUUGUUACUUAGUUGAACGUGGACAUUUGAAUGUAUCGUUACUAGUGGGCCAUUUUUGGUAAGCAGAACUGGCGAUGCGGGAUGAACCGAACGCGGAGUUAAGGUGCCGGAAUGCACGCUCAUCAGACACCACAAAAGGUGUUAGUUCAUCUAG
rnacentral:rRNA from 1 species